rnacentral:tRNA from 1 species
AAGAAGAAAGCUGACACAGCGCUAUGGUUUCGACCCAUAGAAAGAAUUACUUAAUUCUCUUCUUUAAGUA